AUGUCUCUCAAAGAUUUUACUUGGUAUACUGAACUGAACAUUGAUUAAAGGAAAUACAAUAGCAACUUAAAUGUUGAGGAUGAUUAUGAUGCUGUUUAAACUUGGAGAAUAUUGCACAUUCUAGGCAACUUCACAACAAGUUUCUUACAAGAAAGACUACUGUGUCGACAGUCUCAGGCUUUAAAGUUGCCCUAUGGCAGGACACAAUGUUGCCACCUGUGCUAAAAACAUGCUCUGAGGGGGAGCUGGUGGCAGGUGUGUCAAGGUAACGUUUGGCCAGGCAGCUCACUCUGGGAAAGAAUGUUACAUUGAUCUUCCACCAUGCCAGGGGAUUGGUCUCACUGUCUGCAUCAGGAGCUUGCGGGUAUCUCUUCAGUUCAGCUUCAAUAGCCUCCUCUUCUGUAGGAACUGAUGUGGUGCUGGUGUAGGACUUUUUGAAAAAACUACCCAGUGUCAUCAUCUUCUACAGCGGCAGCAGCUCCUCCCUCAGCUCCUGCUUCUGUGGCUCCUGCCGGUCCUUCCUCAUGGCUCUGGUUUUUAUGGUGCCAGUCUUCUCACCCUUCAUUCACUUGGUCUUGAAUCUAAAGUGAUGCCAUGUCCAAGAGAUCAUCAGUGAUCACGUCAUCAUAUUUCUCAUUUAAAUAUUCAGUGACGGUGUCUUGAUGUUUUCGGUAAGCUCGGCAUCAUCAUCGUCAAGCUUUAACAGCCCUUCAUUGAGAAGACACAGAACUGGUUUACAGGUAGUAUACACUGACAUAUUCUUCCCCAGAGAAGGCAUCUGAGAAUUCUAGAAGUGGAUUCAAUGCCUUGUGGAAUGAUUCAAGGACUUGAAUAUCCGGCCACAUAGGAAUCAAAUGCCUGGUCUUUUUGUCAGCGGAGACAAGACUUGUGCGAUGGCCUUCUCUUAUAACAGCACUCUCUCUCUACCAUCUUUUGAUGUGAGCCCCAUCUUGUAGCAACACAGUUGAGCCAGCGCACCAGGGAGAAAGACAGGACCGUGAGGAGGAAUAAAACGAGCAAGAGGAGUAUGAAGAGGUAGAAGAAUGAAGGUACCUGAGAGAUGAGUCAUGAGUAACAAUGCCCAGACCGGGAGCACAAUGGGCUUUAUUUCUCCAGCCGUUCACACGCUGCUUCUCUUGAGAGAUGUCACUGUUACAAUAGGAGUAAGCCGACUAAAUCCUGCAAAGUUCACCCACAGUUUGAGCAUAAAAGAAGGUGACAACCGAAUAAGACAGGCGCAUCCAAACACCACCAGGCCACAGUCUCUCUCUCCCACACCAUCAGUGUCUCCUUGAGAUGUACGGAGCAUGUUUUAGGUGUAGAGAUGCGCAACGCUUACAUUUUCAGCGACCGUCUUUCCACUCUUGCUGUUCCCAUCACUUUUGUGGUCUGGGGGUGAGGAGGUGACCCG